rnacentral:rRNA from 1 species
CUGCUAUCGGAGUUCGAUUAAGCCAUGCGAGUCGAGAGGUGCAAGACCUCGGCAUACUGCUCAGUAACACGUGGACAACCUACCCUAUGGAGGGGGAUAACCCCGGGAAACUGGGGAUAAUACCCCAUAGACUAUGGAAGCUGGAAUGCUCUGUAGUUGAAAGGUCCGCCGCCAUAGGAUGGGUCUGCGGCCGAUUAGGUUGUUGUUGGGGUAACGGCCCAACAAGCCUGUAAUCGGUACGGGUUGUGGGAGCAAGAGCCCGGAGAUGGAUUCUGAGACACGAAUCCAGGCCCUACGGGGCGCAGCAGGCGCGAAAACUUUACAAUGCGGGAAACCGUGAUAAGGGAACUCCGAGUGCCCGUAAAAUCGGGCUGUCCAUCUGUUUAAAUAACAGGUGAAGAAAGGGCCGGGCAAGACCGGUGCCAGCCGCCGCGGUAAUACCGGCGGCUCGAGUGGUGGCCACUAUUACUGGGCUUAAAGCGUUCGUAGCUGGUCUGUUAAGUCUCUGGGGAAAUCUAC